CAAUGAUUGCAAGACUGUCCCAGAACUUGGCCACCUGUGCUGGUGGUCAAGCCCUCGUCAAUAGCCUUCUAGCGCCUAUGCACUCAAACCCUCAAGCUGGAAACCAGAGCCCUGCCAGCCGGGCUCCUCUGCAAGCCUCUGCCCGUCAGGUUUCCCUUAUCUGAAGAGUGAAACGGGAAGCAGGAGCAGAUGCAGUACUUCUAUUUUUUCUCUGGUGAGGGUGACAGUAACAGACUCACUUAGAUGAGAAAAAUACCAUUCAAAAACCUCUAAACUUCAUGCAAAGUUAUUCUAAUGUACACACACUUGUAGUAAGGCAUGCAUUUGUGCUAAGUUCAUGUUAACUUCACUCCUGUUUGGAAGAAUUGAUUAGAUCAUAUAAUGACAUCAUUUCUUGACGCCAGUCUUAGGCAGUGUUUGUUUGAUGGAACGGAGCAUCUGGGAAUUCAACUUAGUGUUUAACUGCCUCACUAUGACACAGCAGAAGAGCCCAGAGCAGCUGUUAGAGUGACUGCCCUCUUCCUGCUCUAGUUUGACUUUUCCAAGUUCAAAUCAGGAGUGAGAUGCCUUCCAGCUGGACUUCUACUCUGCCAAAAAGAUAAUCCCCUAAUGACCAGUCAGCAUUUUCAUCCCAGCAAGUCUGACCUUUCAGAAAGAGAGGUUGCCCGAAAUUUGCACAAAAUAACCUUGGAGAUGAACAAAACCCGAGUUUAGGGUGU